GGGAUCAUUACCGAGUUUACAACUCCCAAACCCAAUGUGAACGUUACCAAACUGUUGCCUCGGCGGGAUCUCUGCCCCGGGUGCGUCGCAGCCCCGGACCAAGGCGCCCGCCGGAGGACCAACCAAAACUCUUUUUGUAUACCCCCUCGCGGGUUUUUUUUAUAAUCUGAGCCUUCUCGGCGCCUCUCGUAGGCGUUUCGAAAAUGAAUCAAAACUUUCAACAACGGAUCUCUUGGUUCUGGCAUCGAUGAAGAACGCAGCGAAAUGCGAUAAGUAAUGUGAAUUGCAGAAUUCAGUGAAUCAUCGAAUCUUUGAACGCACAUUGCGCCCGCCAGUAUUCUGGCGGGCAUGCCUGUCCGAGCGUCAUUUCAACCCUCGAACCCCUCCGGGGGGUCGGCGUUGGGGAUCGGCCCUCCCUUAGCGGGGGCCGUCUCCGAAAUACAGUGGCGGUCUCGCCGCAGCCUCUCCUGCGCAGUAGUUUGCACACUCGCAUCGGGAGCGCGGCGCGUCCACAGCCGUUAAACACCCAACUUCUGAAAUGUUGACCUCGGAUCAGGUAGGAAUACCCGC
rnacentral:rRNA from 1 species